UACAGAGGGGGCGAGCGUUGUUCGGAAUUACUGGGCGUAAAGGGCGCGUAGGCGGCCUGCUAAGUCAUACGUGAAAUCCCUCGGCUCAACCGAGGAACUGCGUCUGAUACUGGUUGGCUUGAAUUCGGGAGAGGGAUGCGGAAUUCCAGGUGUAGCGGUGAAAUGCGUAGAUAUCUGGAGGAACACCGGUGGCGAAGGCGGCAUCCUGGACCGAGAUUGACGCUGAUGCGCGAAAGCCAGGGGAGCAAACGGG
rnacentral:rRNA from 1 species